UACAGAGGUCUCAAGCGUUGUUCGGGUUCAUUGGGCGUAAAGGGUGCGUAGGCGGCGCGGUAAGUCGGGUGUGAAAUCUCGGAGCUUAACUCCGAAACUGCAUUCGAUACUGCCGUGCUUGAGGACUGGAGAGGAGACUGGAAUUUACGGUGUAGCGGUGAAAUGCGUAGAUAUCGUAAGGAAGACCAGUGGCGAAGGCGGGUCUCUGGACAGUUCCUGACGCUGAGGCGCGAAAGCUAGGGGGAGCGAACAGG
rnacentral:rRNA from 1 species